UGAAAAUGUCUUCUGAAGUGAAGCAUAUUUGUGGCGAAGAUCAAAUUGAAGAUAAAAUGGAAGUGACAGAAAACAUUGAAGUCGUUACACACCAGAUCACUGUGCAGCAAGAACAACUGCAGUUGUUAGAGGAACCUAAAACAGUGGUAUCCAGAGAAGAAUCAAGGCCUCCAAAAUUAGUCAUGGAAUCUGUCACUCUUCCACUAGAAACCUUAGUGUCCCCACAUGAGGAAAGUACUUCAUUAUGUCCUGAGGAACAGUUGGUUAUAGAAAGGCUACAAGGAGAAAAGGAACAGAAAGAAAAUUCUGAACUUUCUACUGGAUUGAUGGACUCUGAAAUGACUCCUACAAUUGAGGGUUGUGUGAAAGAUGUUUCAUACCAAGGAAGCAAAUCUAUAAAGUUAUCAUCUGAGACAGAGUCAUCAUUUUCAUCAUCAGCAGACAUAAGCAAGGCAGAUGCGUCUUCCUCCCCAACACCUUCUUCAGACUUGCCUUCGCAUGACAUGCUGCAUAAUUACCCUUCAGCUCUUAGUUCCUCUGCUGGAAACAUCAUGCCAACAACUUACAUCUCAGUCACUCCAAAAAUUGGCAUGGGUAAACCAGCUAUUACUAAGAGAAAAUUUUCUCCUGGUAGACCUCGGUCCAAACAGGGGGCUUGGAGUACCCAUAAUACAGUGAGCCCACCUUCCUGGUCCCCAGACAUUUCAGAAGGUCGGGAAAUUUUUAAACCCAGGCAGCUUCCUGGCAGUGCCAUUUG
rnacentral:lncRNA from 1 species